rnacentral:rRNA from 1 species
AACGAACGCUGGCGGCAUGCCUAACACAUGCAAGUCGAACGAGACCUUCGGGUCUAGUGGCGCACGGGUGCGUAACGCGUGGGAACCUGCCCUUAGGUUCGGAAUAACUCCCCGAAAGGGGUGCUAAUACCGGAUAAUGUCUUCGGACCAAAGAUUUAUCGCCUUUGGAUGGGCCCGCGUUGGAUUAGCUAGUUGGUAGGGUAAAAGCCUACCAAGGCGACGAUCCAUAGCUGGUCUGAGAGGAUGAUCAGCCACACUGGGACUGAGACACGGCCCAGACUCCUACGGGAGGCAGCAGUGGGGAAUAUUGGACAAUGGGCGAAAGCCUGAUCCAGCAAUGCCGCGUGAGUGAUGAAGGCCUUAGGGUUGUAAAGCUCUUUUAACCGGGAUGAUAAUGACAGUACCGGGAGAAUAGGCUCCGGCUAACUCCGUG